UCCACUCACACCUGUGCACCCUCUGUAGUUCUAUGGCCUGGGUGGGCUCUGUCCCCCUGCUGUGGUUCUGCGUCUUUACACACACACUACAACAAAGUCUCAUGGAAUGUAUGUCGCGUUUAACGCAAUGAAAUACAACUUUCAGCAACGGAUCUCUUGGCUCUCGCAUCGAUGAAGAACGCAGCGAAAUGCGAUAAGUAAUGUGAAUUGCAGAAUUCAGUGAAUCAUCGAAUCUUUGAACGCACCUUGCGCCCUUUGGCUAUUCCGAAGGGCAUGCCUGUUUGAGUAUCAUGAACACCUCAACUCUCAUGGCUUGCCGUGAUGAGCUUGGACUUUGGGGGUCUUGUUGGCCUGUGAGCCAGCUCCUCUUAAAUGAAUUAGCUUGCCGGUGUUUGGUGGCAUCACAGGUGUGAUAACUAUCUACGCUUGUGGUUUCCCAUCAGAUAACCUUCAGUGAUGGAGGUUCACUGGGGCUUAUAAAUUUCUCUCCUCGGUGAGGACAGAUUUUGACUGUUUGAUCUCAAAUCAGGUAGGACUACCCGCUGAACUUAAGCAUAUCAAUA
rnacentral:rRNA from 1 species